GUUCUGGAUGUUGAAGCCUGAGUGUUCCUGGUUCCCGGCUGCGGUUUUUUUUUUUUACCCCUUGGCCUUUUUUUUUUGUAUUUGGAGUCUGUGCUUUUUGCCCCCAUUGACUUUUUGAUUUUGAAGUCUUGACUAUUAAAGUCUUUUUGUUUUUGAAAACUCUGGGUCCUGACUCCCCCGCUUCCGGACAUGGGCGACUUGAGGUUGAAUUGUCCCGCUGUUGUCGGCCAUUCAGAGAGAAGUAUAGGAGGCCUGGAGCCUGUGUAAGCUGUGAAAGAGCCGCCCUGCAGCUCGCUGAAAUGCCUCUCGUUGUGACAGCAGCUCUGUCUAAACGGCAAUCGUGAUCAGAGGGCGAGCCCUGCCACCUGCACCGCUGGUCGCCUUUAUCGGAGCUCCAACGGGCGCCGGCGGUGAAUUAAGUGAAGCCAGUGGGAUUCUGUAGGUCACUAACUGAAGGUCUUUCCGAGCAGCUCAACAGGUUUCCCUUCCAAGUCUAUUUAAAGCCGAGCAGAGCAACUGAAGUCAAGGCCCGCUGUUUAGAAACGCCGAUUUCACUGGAACCUAAAUGCGAGAGAUUAAAAAAAAGACACGUCUUUGAGUGAGCCGAACUUAUCGGUGUAGCAAGUACAACAAAUAGUUACAAGUAUAAACCCUCAGUAAAAUACACUAGUUUCGGUGAUUGCGAGGGCAAAUGGGUAAACGCAACACAUCAAUUGGGUUUAUUUCCAUUCAGCAAAAUAAAGAUAAUGUUGUAGUGAAUUAAAUGAGUUAACUUCCUCUACAAAGAUCCAAGCACACAAUUCCCGUCACCAGAACCUGCAUCCACCUGUUGAACUGUACCCUACAAAUAAAAGGCAUCUUACUCUUCCCUACAUUCCUCCCUGUUAUCACACAUAAAGCAACAAUCUGCCCUCUCAAUGGAUUGAUCGUCGCAGUGUGUGGCUCCUGAGUGAUGUGUGUCGCUGUCUAUGCAGCCUUGUUAACCCUUUACUGCAGCUU
ensembl:lncRNA